UGCAGGGGAGCCAGAUACCCGACUGUGAGCCGCUGCCUGUGGAUACCUAUCCCAAAUGCCAGAGCAGGCGAGAACCACAGACACAUUUCACCCGCUGGCAGUCAACGGAGUAAUUGUUUUUCGUAAUGUUUGCCUCCCCCCGCCCUCUCGCGCUCUCUAUUUCAAUCUCUGCUUCAAAUGAGGAGCUUCCUUGGACUUGGACCGGGCAUCAGUAGGGAAGAAGCCCGCUAUCCCACUCUGCUCCUUGCUGCUGCGGCGCUGCUGCCUGUGAGCGCGUCCUCUCGCUACUUUGGAAUAUACUGUGUGCCUAUAUGCGCCAAACCAUGGAGAUUAUAUGACGUGGAUUUAUUUUUCUAAACAAAACUGGACAUCUACAAUAAGGACGUCCCUCUUGUUUUAUCUGAUUUCCAUUGCCUUUUUUUGCGUUCUUCUGUUCUCUCGUUUGAUCUAGAAGGCGACUUUAUGAUUUCAUUUCCUUAGCGAAUUUUUUUUUUUCUAUUUGUCUAUUCAUUUAUUUAUUUUCUACACUUUUUUAUAUCAUAUUUUCUGGUCCGUUUCGGAGGCGCAAGUGGGAUGCCUCACAGAGAACAUUUGUGGGGAGAAGAUUCUGCUCAGCAGCGAGACUGAAUGAAUGAUAGUCUCCCUCUCCAUCUGAGACGUGCCAUGGAUGGGAAACUUAAUUUUUUCCACGGAACCGAUCGGGGAAUAGCCGUCGCAUCAAAUAACUAGGCUACUGCUAACAGUGAUCAGGACGAAUGUCAUAGGAUGAACACUGCUGGUGGGGUGUGUCUGUCUGUGCUGCCCUCUCUCCUGGCUGUGGCUGGGGCUCUGGCUGCCGUUUCUGCCCUCGCUCUAGCGCCUCUCUCUGCCCUGGCUGAGGCGGCCUAUGGGGCUGCCGAUGGCAUCCCCAGCACCGCGGCAGAGGGGGCCCCCUCACCCGUCUCUACACCAUGCUCCAGCCUUGUAGCUGGGGUGCUCUAUGGGUCUUUCUCCCUAAGGGAGCUAUUUCCCUCCAGGGCGCCGGGCUGUUCUUGGUCCCUGGAAAACCCAGAUCCCACCAAGUACUCCCUCUACCUCCGCUUCAUCCGCCACCCUGUGAUCUGUCGGACUCACUCCCCCAUGCUCCUCUCCCUUGACCACCAUCUGGCAAAUCAAAGCUGUCCCCUUCAUUUACAGACGGCCAUUGCCAGGGAUCAGGAAGUCAUUAAUCUCUGUGGCAGCGAAUCCACCUCAGAUGGACCUUAUUCCUUCCUACAGUUUGAUAAGAACUUUGUCCAACUGUGUCUCACGAGACACCCAGCUGCUGAUGAGCCUCAGGUAACCAAGGAAUUGCUAGAGCUGAGACUGGUGGAGGUGUUACUCAUUAAUAACGAGAACUCCAGUCAGUUUACCUGCGGUGUGCUCUGCCGAUGGUUUGAGGAGUGUUUGCGCACAGGACACAAUGGAGAUCAGGAGGUUUCUGAUGCGGAUGGUUGCGGGAUGACCCAGACGGGAUGUAUCUGUCCAAAUCACAACAUCAUGGCACCACCUGUUCCGCUGCUCCCACAGACACCUCACAGUUUCAGCAACGGUUCGCUGGUUCCUGAUGACUGCUGUGUCACUGAGCUGCAUUCCAAUGAUGCGAUCGCCAUAGCACCCAGAGAUGUCCGACAAGAUCCAUAUGAUGAUGAUCUGAAGGUGAAGACCCAAAGACCACGAUCAGCUGACCAACCAGGUGUGUUUCAGGCACAAACAGGUGACCCUGCAGCAGAGGAGUGGUCACAGUGGAGUGUGUGUUCGCUCACGUGCGGGCAAGGCUGGCAGGUGAGGACUCGAUCGUGUGUUUCUUCGCCCUAUGGGACAUUGUGCAGCGGCGCCCUGAGGGAAACACGCAUGUGCAACAACACCACUUCCUGUCCAGGGGAACCCGGGAUCACGGGCUCAGUGGAGGGCCAGUGGUUGGAGUGGGGGCCAUGGUCAAGAUGCAGCAUCACUUGUAAUACGGGCACCCAGGAGAGGCAGAGACGCUGCAGCGCGUCGGCGCAUGGCUGGGCCGAAUGUAAGGGCCCCCAUCAGGAGAGCAGAGACUGCGCCAACCCUUCGUGUGGUGGUGGAGGUAACUGGGGCAGCUGGAACCACUGGAGUCUCUGCAGCAAGACAUGUGACUCGGGUUGGCAGCGUCGCUUCAGGAUGUGCGAGGGUACUGGUGUACAGGGCUACCCCUGUGACGGCUCAGGGGAGGAGGUCCGCUCCUGCAACGAGAAGAAGUGUCCCGCUCCUCAUGAGAUAUGUAAAGAUGAGCACAUCCUCUCCAUGUCAUGGAAGAGAGCCUCAGCUGGAGAAACCGUCUACAACAAGUGUCCAACUAACGCCACUGGAUCUGCUAGUCGUCGUUGCAUGCUGGACAAUAAUGGAGUUGCUUUCUGGGGUCCUCCGAGCUUCGCCAGAUGCGUCUCACUUGAAUAUAGAUAUUUACAUUUAUCUUUACGAGAGCAUCUUGCGAAGGGUCAGAGGACCCUGGCCGGGGAGGGCAUGUCUCAGAUCGUAAGGACUCUCCUGGAGCUCUUGCAGAGGGGGAGCUACUACAGUGGCGACCUUCUCUUUUCCACGGAGAUCCUGCGAAAUGUGACGGACACCUUCAAAAGAGCAACCUACAUCCCAGCUCCCGACGACGUGCAGAAAUUCUUCCAGAUUGUCAGUCACAUGUUGGACAUGGAAAAUCUAGAGAAAUGGGAGGACGCUCACCAGGUCGCUCCGGGUGCCGCUUCGCUGAUGAGGACAUUAGAGGAUUUCAUUCACCUCAUCGGCGAAGCCCAGAAGCCUUUUCAGAGUUUUCUAGUGGCUACAAACAACCUCAUGAUAACCAUCCAACGAGAGCCAGUGUCAGCCGUUUCCAGUGAUAUCAACUUCCCCAUGAAGGGCCGGAGAGGGAUGAAGGAUUGGGCCAGAACAGCAGAGGACAAGCUCUUCAUCCCUAAAGAGGUCUUCACCAUCCCUACAGAAGAGACAGAGACGGAUUCAGAGGCUCCAAUGUACUACGUCAUCGGAGCCAUCUUGUACCGGACUUUGGGCGUCAUCUUGCCAGUGCCAAAUCCCCCUGCGGUGAUCAACUCCAAGAUCCUGACAGUGACGGUGCGACCGGAACCGCAACCCAGUGAGCCCAUGGUGGUGGUGGAGCUGUCCCCGCUUUUGAAUGGUACAUCUGAUCCUCAGUGCGUUGUCUGGGACUAUGGCAACCCGGAACCUGGCGCAGAAAACUGGGGCAUAGAAGGCUGCCAAACGCUCGCGUCAUCCACUGUCCACACCAAAUGCCUGUGCAGCAGGAUAUCCACCUACGCCGUGUUAGCGCAGCAAGCUAAAGACCCGGACAUGGGUCCUACCAGCAUACCCUCUGUGCCCCUCAUGGUGGGCUGUGGAGUGUCCUGCACAGCUCUCCUCAUCCUGCUGCUGAUCUAUGCUGCCUUCUGGAGGUACAUCCGUUCGGAGAGGUCGAUCAUCUUGGUGAACUUUUGCCUCUCCAUCCUGGCCUCCAAUUUGUUGAUUUUGGUCGGACAAUCUCAAACGCUUAGCAAGGGCCUCUGUACUGUGACUGCUGCUUUCUUGCAUUUCUUCUUCUUGGCGUCCUUCUGCUGGGUGCUGACAGAAGCAUGGCAGUCCUACCUGGCCGUCAUUGGCAAAAUGAGGUCGCGGCUCAUUCGCAAGCGCUUUCUGUGCCUCGGCUGGGGUCUUCCAGCCCUCGUUGUCGCAGUGUCAGUGGGUUUCACCAGAGCAAGAGGUUAUGGCACCGUCAGUUACUGCUGGUUAUCCUUGGAGGGCGGACUGCUUUAUGCCUUCGUUGGGCCUGCUGCAGUCAUUGUGUUGGUGAAUAUGCUCAUUGGAAUCGUGGUGUUUAACAAGCUCAUGUCUCGAGACGGCAUCUCAGACAAGUCUAAAAAGCAGCGAGCGGGUGUCCCAGCGGAGGCUCGUAGCCGACUGCUCCUGAAAUGCUCCAAGUGUGGCGUGAUCUCAAGCACCGCUCUGUCCAGCUCGACUGCCAGCAGUGCCAUGGCCUCUCUGUGGAGCUCCUGUGUGGUUCUCCCUCUGUUAGCAUUAACCUGGAUGUCGGCAGUGUUGGCCAUAACCGACCGGCGCUCCACACUCUUCCAGGUCCUUUUCGCCGUCUUUGACUCUGUCCAAGGUUUUGUCAUCAUCACCGUUCACUGCGCAAUGCGCCGAGAGGUGCAGGACGCAGUGCGCUGUCGGAUGGGGGGAUGUAAAGACGACAGCGAAAACUCACCAGACUCCUGCAAGAACGGACAGGUGCAGAUCAUGAAGGGUCCAAAUGUGAUCUACCACGGGCAGCAGUGUGGUUCUCUGCGUUACGGCACAUCCCCGAGCCUCUUGGCUUGCCACCCGCAGCUUCUCCCACCGUCGUGCCACCAGGCAUGCCAGCAAGGCUGUUACCACAGUCUGCCCCGCAGCAACCACAACCCCGGGCUAGACCACACCAACGCCCUCAGCCAUGCACAUGAGCAUAACCCCAUCCUGAACAAUACCCACAACCAUGCUCAUAACCAUAACCAUGCCCUCAACCACAUCGGCAGACAACCAACGGAUUUUGAGAAGGAUGUGGACUUGGCAUGUCAAACAGAGAGAGGACACCCAUUCAUUUUCAAGGAGGUCAACACCUGUAACCCGGCCACCAUCACUGGGACCCUUUCUCGCAUCUCUCUGGAUGAUGAAGACGAUCCAAAGCUGGCAGCCCAUCAGGAGGGAGGAGUUGGAGUCAACUUCAGCUCCCUCCCUGGAAACAUUCCCCCUCCCAACCUCAUUGUACAGGUUCCACCACUAGGAGGCCUCAAUGAGCUGAGUGAGACGCCCUUAAAGACGGAGGUGAAUGUGGAUCAGCAGAGACAGCAGGGGCAGCAGCGCAGCGGAGCUCCAAUCUACCUCUGCACUGAGAGUGGCCUGGGCUGGGCGCGCCCGCCCGCUUCCUCCAACAAUUCCCAGGAUGGAAGUGCUGGAAGUGGAGGAAGUGGAGGGGGUGGUGGAGAAAGUGGCGGAGGAGGGGAGGGAGACUACAUGGUCUUACCUCGUAGGACGGUCAGUCUCAAGCCCCCAGUGCCCACCUCCCAAGGAGGCCUGGGACUGGGGGGCGAGGACAAGCCUCUCAACAUUGUGGUGGAAGAUCCCCCCUUCCCCCCACCUCCCUCUCCCCUGACCCUCCACCCGGCUGAGAGCGAGGCCUACCCGGCGGAUUUUGUGCCGUCCAGUGUGGGCAACAUGAACAUUACCAUGAACCUAAACCGCUCCUAUGGGACAAUCAAAACCAUGCCCCACGGGCACGGCCACAUGAUGGCUCAGGGUGGUCUUGUACACUCCCACGGAGGACACAUGCACUCCCACGGGCACUCACUCCAGCUGAAGUCGGGCCAGAGGCCGUCAGUCAGACAGAUUCUGACGGGGGGACCUACGGUGGAGAGAACCAGGACCCUGCCACGUAACCUGGGUAGCACCAACGCCAACAGCAGCCUCUCAGCAGGAUCCCUGGAGAGGAAGAGAGUACGGUACUCUGAGCUGGACUUCGAGAAAGUGAUGCACACUCGCAAAAGACAUUCUGAGCUGUACCAUGAGCUCAACCACUCGUCCAAGUUCCACACCAUAGACAGGUAUAGCAGGGACGCAGCCAUGUCCACAUUCAAGGUCCCACCUCCCCCUCCACCGAGGCACAACAUCGAGCCAUCGCUCGUACGCAGAACGUCCCUCGUUUACAAAGAGAGUCAACGUAAGACAAGCUAAACCCUGCAUAAAGCUCGUGCAGUAGAGCCCCCUCUAACUCACUCUAAAGCAGGCCGAUGAGUUGACGUGUUACAUGUCACUGUAUGUGUCCCAUAGUUUGCCACUGUUUGUUCUGCAGCUGUGUUUUCAUGCUGUAGUUGUUUCCUGUGUGGUUGACUGUUGGUUAAAUGCCUCCUGCUAGAGUUUGUGAAAUCAUAGCUUAGCAACUGUAACCAUAGCCAUGGCAGGCCUGUCAAGCUUUGGAUUUCUUCACACGGUGGGUGAUACUCUGCAUUUACAGUAAUGCAUUUUGGGGUUCUAAGUUUUUUCAAUACCAAAACUGAGGAGUGAAAGUUUAAGAACUGCCAUUCAUCUCCUCUAUGUGAACAAGCAAUUACUAACGGGUCCAGUUUAUUAUUGUGUAUAGUAACUGAGCUUUACUAUAAAAAGGCCAUGUUCAUGACUAGCACAUUCACCGUGUGCUCUUUCCUACUGUCUGGAAGAUGGUCCAGGACUGAUAUCCUUUAGGCUAACAACAGCAGUCCUGCUCCUUAUUAGAUUGGAUGAAGUUUAUUCUCAAAUAACCUGAGAUGGAUUUACGUUUGCCAAACUCAACAAAUACAACAUAACACAAAAAGGGAAAGAAACAUAUCAUUACAUUUCUGAAUAUGGAAAGUAAUACCAGAACUAUCUAAUAGAUGGAUCCUGGGACAUGCAGCUUCAGUUUCAUUUCAGCAUAAUAUCAUGUGUAAAGCCAUUAAAGGCAUAUUUAAGUUAAGACCUUCCUUUGAAACGAUUAAAAAAUAGCUGAAAACAUUAAAGUCAGCCCAAAACUGAUUUAAAUGAUCUCACAAUGCUAUUAAAAAUUGGUCUAUCUGUCUUUGACAUUAAAAAGCCAUUGUUACUAAUGUUCUGUGUGAGAACUGAAAACUUGACAGGUGUAGCAGCAGUAACUCGGGGACAGGGCUUAGCCAACAGUCAGUUCCGAAUAUUCGACUUCGGUCAAACAUUACAUAUGAGCGUAUAUGUGACACCAAAGCAUGCUGUCAAGACAUUAAAAUUGCAUUAAUAUAAACAGUGUCAAACUAUACAUUUGCUCCAUGUAGCUGCUCAUCUACUUCCUGUCUCAUGGUGACUGUAUUCGAUGAGCCUUAUUGGUAGAUGUGGUGGUGGUUCAAUUUAGUGUAUCACAGCUUCUACCCUUUAUUCCUCAGUAUCUAUUCACUGAAUGCUGGUUCCCUUCCAUCAACUCCUAUACAAAUUCAUAUUGAAGUAUACAAGCUGGAAUCACCAAAACCAGAGAGAUGAAUUUGUAAGGUGGUCUGAUGCAAGACCUGAUUUGUCUCCCAUGAUAAAACAUACAUUCCUGAGUGAUUUAUUUGUUGUUGUCUCUGUUUUGGGGUUGUGGUUUCAUCAGUGUUGGAUACUUGAUCCAUACAGUCACGGUGUCCAUUUCAGUGCCUGAGUUGAACCGUGUGACGUAAACACCCUAAACAAGUGAUAAAUGAGUUCAUAAAGACAAUGAGUCAUCCACAUCAAUUCAUAAUCACCUCAUAAACCAUGAUAUUCCAUCUAUAAACAAGCUCAUUGGCACUGAAAAAGUCCAAAACACGAUGAACGCUGUAUGGGUGCUGAUGAGAGAAUAUCACAAAGGCUUAUGUGGUCAAAUGAGACCUGAUCCAUUUCACUUCUGUGGAAAGGUAGGAUCUCUGUGGUGGCUGUGUUUAGGAGAUGAGUGAAUAUCAGAAAAUGUCUCACUUUUCUUCUUUUUUUUUUUCUUUGACUGUCACAUUUUUCACAUCCAAUUUUCUGUGUCAGUGCAGUGGGCUUAAGGUGGUCUUUGGCAUUACACGUGCCAUCACAGAUAGAAUCCACACACUUCAAUAUCUUGAUUUCAUGCUUUUCUUGCGUUUCCUCCUCUCUCCAUAUAGCUCCCUCACACUCUUUUUAACCAUCCGUUGCCCGGUAACUACAAAUCCCUAUACUUACCACACCGACAGAAAUAAGUUGUCAAGUGAUGACUCCGUGUUAGGCUGAAGAAAUGGAAACAAAGGGAGAAGACAUUACCGGAAAGAUGGGGGAUGCAGACACUAUAUAUCUAGAGACUCCCUAUUAACCUCAAUGUAGAAAAUCUCCUUGUCUGCCUUUUCUAUUAGGCUGCUGAAGCUGGUGGAGCGAGUCUGGUACGCUGAGAAAUAAAUAGAUGUACAUGUUGCCCUGUUACAAUUUCUGUUAUUAUUCAAAAACAUACAGUAUACGUGAACCUUAAAAUUCUACUCUGCAACAUGUCCAACUGUUAAACUCUGGCUAAGACAGGUCACUCGCAGCCUGUGACACAGGCAUAUCUCUGUGCUGGAGUCAGGCACCCAUGUGCAUUUCAAAUGCAAAAAGAUGCAUACGAAUACUUUUGCAUUCUUUAAUCCAGUGACAGAGGUCACAGUGAGAUAAUAUUAUAUUCUUUGCUACUAUUUUACAGUGGCCGACCUUGAAUCAAACUUUUUUGAAUAUGCUUUAUAAACACACGUUUGCCCCUGUAAAACUAUUGUGAAUAGAAAGCAGCUUCAGCUUCACAUUCUUCACCAAGAACAUAUUCAAAUCCUGUUCUGUUUUAAGUACAGUGCAUGCUCUGGCAGAAGCCAUACGGCCAACAGGGGGAUGGAGUCCAUUGUGUCUCCCCUAAUGGAGACAUGAUACAGAUGAAGUCAGUGGGGUUACUGAAAGACAGAGUAUGCCGUGUGUAUGCAACGCAGUAUGUUUUAGCAUUCGUGGCUGCUCUAAUAUUUAGCCUCUUGGUCUUUGUCAUUGUGGAACAAGCCUGUUGUUCUCUAUCCUCUCCACAGGGUUCCGAAGGUCAUAACACAAAUUUGCAUGCAGUGCCCAAUGAUGCAGUGUCGUGCCUCUCUGUGUGUGGGAUGUGUGUAAGAGAGAGACUGCAUAAUGGCCUGGCUGAGGCAUUUUUCUAGCUUUUAAAUGAGAUAUAUUUCCAUCUCAUCAUCUGCUCUCCUCCGCUGUGUUCUUGAUUAAAUGAAUGUACUUGGCUUCUCUCUCCAGAUAGACAGUGAGAAAUUGUGGUGAACGCAGCGGGAUAGAGAGACAAAGGAAACCACUAUACUAUACUUUGCUGCGAUUUCACUCAUUCUAGAUCAGAGCAGGGACUGCAAGCAAAUUUCAGAUUAUGAAAGACGUAUUUGCAAGUCAAUCAAAAUGGUUGCAGGCGUAUGUGUGUAUGUGAAUCCUACAACGAAAUCGUAGUGGAUUCAGCUAUGCAUGGAAAUGUAUUGUGGUAUGGUCCAGGAGGGUUUUCUUCAUUAGCCUGCGCCAUAAAAGAGAGGUGAGACCUGGGGUGCUCUCUUUAUGCAUCCGCAGUUAACAUUAGUGUCUGUUAUUGACUUUUCUGCAGUUUUGAGGCCACUGGAGGGAAAUUUAGCUAAGGUAAUAUGAAUGUUUUGAGGAUGACUCAUGUAAAAUGAAGAUGUACAAUUUUAAAUGACAAAGACCCAAUUUUGUUGAUUCACUGAGGGCAAUUUGCCUGCACUUGCAAACCCUGUAGGUUUUCAUAGUCAAUUUGCUGGCAUUAAGCUAAGGGGCUUCAAUUACACAUUCCAGCAAUAAAGCAAGCCCUCCCCUCUUCUUCCUCUUCAUAUUUCAUUCACCCUCUCUUCAUUCUCCCGGCUUGACAUUUUCCUCUCUUGCUGUCUCCCUCAUCUUUUCCUAUUUCUCCCCCACUAAACUCAGCCCUCGGUGGCAAGUUUGCGGCAUUAAUUGAAUAAUUAAUUCCUCUCAUUAGCUUGUUUUUAAUUAUUUCCUUGCCCCCAUCCCUGUGCCAAGUAUAAACUCAUCAACUGUUUUCAUCCCUCCACAUAAAUUGCCCAUGAAAACUGAGGUCUGGCGGAGUGUAGCUCCUGCACACUGGCUCUAUCAGUGGCUCCUAAUGAGGGGACGGUUAGCCCAGGCGGAACAAGCCUAACACUGGCUUCAUGCACCAAGAGGCACAAUACUAAUUUAGCUCAUUUAGUGUCCUUGCGCCAAUUAAAGGGAGGUGAAAAGGGCCAAAUCCGCUGGCCGGAACUGUUUUCACUAUAGGAACAGUGGCCCUGGACUGCAGCGCGCUGCACUGCACAGGCCAGGGCAGCAGCGAACCAAGCCUGUGUCUGAUUGCUCGUUUGUUUGCAAUGUGUUGCACUAAUGGAAUUUAUUUGCCCUACAUUCUUCAGAUUUGGUUCUUUUGAAGGGCCUUAUUACUUGUUACACAAAUUCCUUUCCUGCUAAGGGGUAAAUGGUGCUAAAGACUGUUUUGCCCACUUAGUCUAUUUUUGUUCCUCCCAAUAAAUUAAGCUGUUGCUGAUUUGGCAAUCUGGAUUCUAUCAUUAUCUUGAUGAUAUAAUGAUACAAGCAAACAAACACAUAGGAACUUUGAAAUACUCCAGUUCUGGUUCAAUGACUCAAAAGCCCACUGUAAGAUCACAGUCAUGUUCUGGUAUCCACUCAAUCUACUCCUGCGUUGUUUGAUGUUACUUUUGUGUCCUUUACAUAUAAAUGUGAUUUAAUUUUGUUUCAUGUGGACCUCACACUCAUGUGUAUGUCUUUUCUUUGAUUUACUGCUACAUUUUAUUGAUUUCUGUUUUUGUUUCUGUUUUAAUGUCCUUUGUUGGCUGACUGGGCCUUGUGUUGCAUGUUUGUUCUCAUGUCUCAGUUUGAAUGUAGCCAGACACUCAGCAGAACCAUGGGCAUCCAAGUCAACAAAGGACAAGUCAACCCCAGAGAUCCAGAGCUCCUGGGACGGCUUCAAGACCAUGACCCCCGAGCUGUCCAUCGUGCCUGGGGAGCAGAAGGACCGC